rnacentral:lncRNA from 10 species
GGUAGCAAUCCUACUUUUUAAUAAUAAUGGCGGGUAGCAAUCCUACUUUUUAAUAAUAAUGGAGGGUAGCAAUCCUACUUUUUAAUAAUAAUGGAGGGUAGCAAUCCUACUUUUUAAUAAUAAUGUUGGGUAGCAAUCCUACUUUUUAAUAAUAAUGGCGGGUACCAAUCCUACUUUUUAAUAAUAAUGGCGGGUAGGAAUCCUACUUUUUAAUAGUAAUGGCGGGUAGCAAUCCUACUUUUUAAUAAUAAUGGCUGGUAGCAAUCCUACUUUUUAAUAAUAAUGGUGGGUACCAAUCCUACUUUUUCUUAUGUUUCCUCUCUACCAAAUGAAACAUUCCUACUGCAGCAGACAUGCCUGUCCCACCAUCACACAUCCCUUUAUAAAGGAAACCGUCCACAUGUACCCUUCACUUGGAGCUGGGGGUUCCCUCUAAUUUGGAGAUGACCAUGUCUGUAUAGUAGAAUCUGCCUCUGGCCAAAGCUGAUUGGACUAGGAAGUGCCCAUGGCCCAAGAGUUGCCAAAAUAUAGGAUAAUCAGCAACGAUGGUGUGACUUGAAGGAAAACUCCUCAAGGGACUAUGGUAAUUAAACAGCCUCAGACCAUUUCUCUCCAGAUAUUGUAAAAUGAAGUAAAUGGUUCACCUUGGUAACAUAAAAAAAAAACAGAUCUUAAGGGAAGCAGAAACUGACAAAAUAGUUGAGUCACAUGGAAGGUGAAGCACGAGAAUAAGAGCCUUGUGCUCUAGCUCCUGCAGUCCCUAGAGCACACCAAGCCAUGCACAUCUGCUCAAUCCAGACCAUACUCCUAUUCCAGGUUCUGUAAGGCCUGAUGGUUAAGGUUUGCCUGGCUUCCAGUAAAGACAGAGAGGACUAUUUCACAAGUGUGUCCUUAAAGUAAAUCCUCCAUUACUUGACAUAUAAUGGAGGAUCAAGUAAUCAAUUUUUUUUUUGUAAGAUGGAGUCAUGCUCUCUCGCCCAGGAUGGAGUGCAAUGGCGUGAUCUUGGCUCACUGCAACCUCUGCCUCCCAGGUUCAAGCGAUUCUCCUGUCUCAGCCUCCCAAAUAGCUGGGACUAC